UCCCCGGUAGCUCAGUUGGUAGAGCAGGUGACUGUUAAUCACCGGGUCUGCGGUUCGAGCCCGUCCCGGGGAGCCA
rnacentral:tRNA from 1 species